rnacentral:rRNA from 1 species
UACGUAGGGACCAAGCGUUGUUCGGAUUUACUGGGCGUAAAGGGCGCGUAGGCGGCGUGGUAAGUCACUUGUGAAAUCUCUGAGCUUAACUCAGAACGGCCAAGUGAUACUGCUGUGCUAGAGUGCAGAAGGGGCAAUCGGAAUUCUUGGUGUAGCGGUGAAAUGCGUAGAGAUGUGGAGGAACACCAGUGGCGAAGGCGACUCUUUGGUCUGUAACUGACGCUGAGGCGCGAAAGCGUGGGGAGCAAACAGG